rnacentral:rRNA from 1 species
GACGAACGCUGGCGGCGUGCUUAACACAUGCAAGUCGAACGGAAAGGCCCUGCUUUUGUGGGGUGCUCGAGUGGCGAACGGGUGAGUAACACGUGAGUAACCUGCCCUUGACUUUGGGAUAACUUCAGGAAACUGGGGCUAAUACCGGAUAGGAGCUCCUGCUGCAUGGUGGGGGUUGGAAAGUUUCGGCGGUUGGGGAUGGACUCGCGGCUUAUCAGCUUGUUGGUGGGGUAGUGGCUUACCAAGGCUUUGACGGGUAGCCGGCCUGAGAGGGUGACCGGCCACAUUGGGACUGAGAUACGGCCCAGACUCCUACGGGAGGCAGCAGUGGGGAAUAUAGCACAAUGGGCGGAAGCCUGCUGCAGCAACGCCGCGUGCGGGAUGACGGCCUGCGGGUUGUAAACCGCUUUCGCCUGUGACGAAGCGUGAGUGACGGUAAUGGGUAAAGAAGCACCGGCUAACUACGUG